UAAUCUGGUAAGAUAAGGCGUCGUAUUUGCUCUGACCUCACUCUACAUAUUUCCGAUUACCGACUCCGGCUGCUCUCAUAGGGUCGGAGUCGGAUCUGAUCUUCUUGGAAUCUUUUGUCUGGCUGUGUGAAUUUGCAUUUUUGGAUUCGCGAUGUCUUUGUUGUCUUCUCCGGUUCGAUCUUCUACCUUAUUGUUCCUUGCAUGCGGUGGAAUCCGGGGUUGAUUGGAUUCGCUCCUUGUCAUUACCAAUUGAUCUGAUCGAGAUCUUCACUUUCGUCAAGCUUCAAUUUGGCGGUUUCAAGUCCUUCGCGACAACGCUGUUCCGGUUUGAAGACUUAGAAAUGGUUUGUCUUCAUGUUAUGCUGGUUCUUGUUGCUUGGGUUCUCAAUUGUCUGGGCUAUUCACAAUAGGAGGUCUCUCUUCACGGUGGUUUGAUCAAGUUAUCAUCAUCGGUUUGUUCUUCUCAAAGGAUCCGAAGACUGCAUGCAAUUUUUGCUCAUCGUGUUUAUGAAUCUGCUGUUUUGUCUUUUGCUUAACUAGAUGAAAGAAUGUUGUUUAUAUUAUUGUCUUGUUAAAUGUUUUUUCUUUUCAUCAUGUCUCCCUUAAUUGGGCUUAUGCUUCUGGGAACUUUAGUUAAGUUCGCCAGCUCCUUUCUCCGGGAUACUUGUAUCCGCGGAGCUGUAUGGUUUCUAUCUUUGAUCAAUAUAAUCUUAAUAGUGUUGAAAAAAAA